GACAGUUCAGAUGUCUUGGGUCGGUGAUUCAUGGGGACGAAGAGAUUGACGAACGUCACUCAUCGUAUAGGAGCGGGGUGGUCAAAGUGGAGGCUUGCAUCAGGACUCCUGUGUGACAAGAAAGUUCCACAGAAACUCAAGGGGAAAUUUUAUAGAGUUGUGGUUAGACCUGCAAUGUAAGAAAGUUUCACAUAAACUCAAGGAAAAAUUUUAUAGAGCUGUGGUUAGACCUGCCAUGUUGUAUGGGGCGGAGUGCUAGCCGGUGAAGAACUCUCAUGUUCAGAGAAUGAAGGUUGCGGAGACGAGGAUGCUCAGGUGGAUGUGCGGGCUCACCAGGUUAGGUAAGAUUAAAAAUGAAGUUAUUCGAGAGAAGGUUGGGGUGGACCUAGUGGAUGAGAAGAUGCGAGAAGCGAGGUUGAGGUGGUUCGGGCAUGUGCGGAGAAGUACAGAUGUCCCGGUGAGGAAUUGUGAGCGGCUGGCGAUGGUUGGCGUACGACGAGGCAGAGGGAGGCCUAAAAGGUAUUGGGGAGAGGUGAUUAGGCAUGACAUGGCUAGAAUGCGGGUUUCCGAGGACAUGACCCUUGAUAGAAAAUCUGGAGGUCUAGUAUCAGAGUUGUAGGAUAUGGGCUCCUAGAGUUUUUCGUACUCCUCACCCGGGGUUGGGUGAGGUUUGGC
rnacentral:lncRNA from 1 species